UGGGGAAUAUUGGGCAAUGGGGGCAACCCUGACCCAGCAACGCCGCGUGAAGGAAGAAGGCUUUCGGGUUGUAAACUUCUUUGACCAGGGACGAAAAAAAUGACGGUACCUGGAAAACAAGCCACGGCUAACUACGUGCCAGCAGCCGCGGUAAUACGUAGGUGGCAAGCGUUGUCCGGAUUUACUGGGUGUAAAGGGCGCGUAGGCGGGAGUACAAGUCAGAUGUGAAAUCUGGGGGCUUAACCCUCAAACUGCAUUUGAAACUGUAUUUCUUGAGUAUCGGAGAGGCAGGCGGAAUUCCUAGUGUAGCGGUGAAAUGCGUAGAUAUUAGGAGGAACACCAGUGGCGAAGGCGGCCUGCUGGACGACAACUGACGCUGAUGCGCGAAAGCGUGGGGAGCAAACA
rnacentral:rRNA from 1 species